CUGCUGAUUUCCCAAGAGUCUUCUGAGAAUCAUUUUUAGUAGAUGCAGACUGAUGUUUCAGUAGCAGAGUUUCACCAUGCAGCAAAUCAUCUGGAUCAGGUUCAAACUUGUUAUGAUUGCUAGAAAGGUCAUCAGGAUAUGGUUCAUAAGCAAGUUUCCUCAAAGACCUAAUUGGACUUUGAAUAUCUAGAUUUUCAUUUCCAUUGUGAAUAGUCAAACCAGAGUCUUGGAUUCUCUGUAAUUCUUGAUCAUCCGGAUCGGGCUCAUCAAUUUUCAUAUCAUAUAUUCCCAGCUGUGGCAAUAACUUAUCAUCUCGAUGAGGAUCUGCUUGUGCUAUUUCAUCUGCUUUAGUUUCAUCAGGAUCAGGUUCUUUAUGGCCUUGAUUGAAAUGGGCUUGAUCUACCAAGGUUUCAGUUGUUAUGUGAUGACGAGGAUCAUGUCUUGCCAAGCUUGUGCAUCCCAAAAUGUUCGAUUGUGCUUCUCCAUCAUCAGGAUCUGGUUCAUCUAUGGUCUCUCUUGUCAGAAUCUUGGUGUCCAGAAUCUCCAUCACCAUAGGUUCAACUACAUUUCCAAAACUUGAAGCACCUGAAUCAUCAGGAUCGGGCUCUUCACUUGAACACAUGGCUGCUGAUUUCCCAAGAGUCUUCUGAGAAAUGUUUUUAGUAGAUUCAGAAUGAUGUUUCAGUAGCAGAGUUUCACCGGGCAGCGUGUCAUCUGGAUCAGGUUCAAACUUGUUCUGAUUGCUAGAAAGAUCAUCAGGAUCUGGUUCAUAAGCAAGUUUCCCCAGAGCCCUAAUUGGACUUUGAAUAUCUAGAUUUUCAUUUCCAUCGUGAAUAGUCAACCCAGAAUCA
rnacentral:lncRNA from 1 species